rnacentral:rRNA from 1 species
CCUACGGGAGGCAGCAGUGAGGAAUAUUGGUCAAUGGGCGUAAGCCUGAACCAGCCAAGCCGCGUGCGGGAUGAAGGUUCUAUGGAUCGUAAACCUCUUUUAUAAGGGAAUAAGCGGUGGUACGUGUCUUUUUUUGUAUGUACCUUAUGAAUAAGGAUCGGCUAACUCCGUGCCAGCAGCCGCGGUAAUACGGAGGAUCCGAGCGUUAUCCGGAUUUAUUGGGUUUAAAGGGUGCGUAGGCGGCCCUUUAAGUUAGCGGUGAAAGUCUGUGGCUCAACCAUGGAAUUGCCGCUGAAACUGGGGGGCUAGAGUAUGUUUGCGGCAGGCGGAAUGCGUGGUGUAGCGGUGAAAUGCUUAGAGAUCACGCAGAACACCGAUUGCGAAGGCAGCCUGCCAAGCCAUGACUGACGCUGAUGCACGAAAGCGUGGGGAUCAAACAGGAUUAGAUACCCGUGUAGUC